UUAAAGAGUUUCAAAUAUCACUUGACUUCAAAAACACAUUAGCUAGCACAUGAGAACAUUAAAGUAAACCAGAACUAGAUGGUCUGUAACAUCAUUGUAUCUGCUUAUUCCUGUAUGAAAAGAGCAGGGCACGCUUGACACAGACUAAGAUGAAGUGGUCACUAUGCAGUGGGCACAGGGAAGGGGACACAGCACAGCACAGGGAGGGACAAUCACAACACCAACACACCGCAUGCUCUUCACCUGCUUGCGAGUGCCUGGCCUCCUUUUAAUGGUAUUGGUGUUAUUGUCAAUCUCAAACACAGAGAGAGGCUCAAAGCCAUUCUGUCAGGGACAGUAAGGAAAGAAAGAGAGGGAAGAAAGGAAGAAGUGAUGCAAAGAACAACUGUGAGAAAAGGCAGCCACAACACUAAAGGAGCCAGGAUGCUGCAGCCCAGACUUACACCACCCUCUGCACAUGCUGCACGCAGUCUUUAGGUCUAGCACUGAAGUAAAAAAAUUUCCCUGUGCCAGAAACAACUGCAGAUACAGGGAGUGCCAAAGGACAGCCCAACCAGAACUCUGCAUGAGCCAAAUAAGGAUAUUUUAAGAGAAUUUGGUUAUUAAACAUUUGAAUACACAAACGAAUGCCAACGGUCUGACAGAAAACUCCAGGGUACAAGUCUGCAUAAGCCAAGUCCUGCUUACUUUACCCAUACCAUUAUUAUUUGUAACACUCUGGUGCUUAACUUAAACAUAGUCUUAACUUCAAAUGUUUCAGAAAUUUAUGUGCUAACAGUAAUAUGACAGACUCAGGCCACAUUUGAGACCACAACAAGAAAACAACACAAGGAAGGGAACAUAAGGCAGCAAUGACACAAAGGUUGUGAGAGGAAGAGGUCACAGCAGCUGCCUGAUGCUUCUGAAGUACUUUGUGGGCUUCACAGCAGAGAAAUUGAGCAGCAGUUAGAGAGGAUGUCUUGGGGUUUUUUUCCCCCUUCGACACUACCAAUGUUGUAAGAGACAGUGUAAGAGAAAACAAGAAACUAUUUGCAGAAAAAUGAGAUUUAGAAGCAAUGAAGGCUGAAGCCAAGUCAUCAGUCAAGUUGGAAAGCUUGAUACCAGCUCUAAAAGUAACCUCCAUUGUAACAGAUGGAACUACCCUUGUGAGAACAGCAGGAGGUUCUGACUAACAUAAAACUUUUAUUUUUUCAGAGAGGCCAGUGAUUACAUUUCUUCAACAACAUUUUAGUCUGGUUAUCUAUCACAGGCUGACCCAAAGAAAUCCACCUCAGUGUGCAAUGAAGUUCUGCAGCCAGACUCCAAAUCACAGGACACAGAGAAGUUAAAGCAGAAGGCUGUACUAAGCAGUAAAAUCACUUCCUUCAUACUGAAGAGCACAUCAAUUAGGAAGCAAGCUGAAUGGAGAAGAAAUCAAACUAGAACAACUAGAGAAUGUGCCACAGAAAAAGGCCAUCACGUGCAGGAUCUUACCACUAACAAGGCACUAUCAUCAGUAUGCUGAGACCUUCUGGAUGGAAAGGGACACUGGGAGGUGGGAGAGAUGGAGCAAUGUCAGAAACACACACAAUGUCAGAAACACACGGUAUGUGAACAGACAGACAUUUUGGAACAUGUACUGCUUGCUUAUAGCACUGUGAGGCUCUUUCAAACAAUCCAUGAAGUGUCUGUAACUCUGCAGCCUCAGGACCCAGGAAUUACAGUGCAGUCGUAUUACUUAAGGAAUCAAUUACUCUGCUUUCUGUGCUGUGUCAAGCAAACACAGAACACUAUGCAUUCACAGUGCUGACUCUGGUA